AAAUUAGUGGCAGACGGGUGAGUAAUGCAUAGGAAUCUACCUAGUAGUAUGGGAUAGCCACUAGAAAUGGUGGGUAAUACUGUAUAAUCCCUGCGGGGGAAAGAUUUAUCGCUAUUAGAUGAGCCUAUGUUAGAUUAGCUAGUUGGUAGGGUAAAGGCCUACCAAGGCAGUGAUCUAUAGCUGGUCUGAGAGGAUGAUCAGCCACACUGGAACUGAGAUACGGUCCAGACUCCUACGGGAGGCAGCAGUGGGGAAUAUUGGACAAUGGGCGCAAGCCUGAUCCAGCUAUGCCGCGUGAGUGAGGAAGGCCUUAGGGUUGUAAAACUCUUUCAGUGGGGAAGAUAAUGACGGUACCCACAGAAGAAGUCCCGGCAAACUCCGUGCCAGCAGCCGCGGUAAUACGGAGGGGGCAAGCGUUGUUCGGAAUUAUUGGGCGUAAAGGGCAUGUAGGCGGUUCGGUAAGUUAAAGGUGAAAUGCCAGGGCUUAACCCUGGAGCUGCUUGUAAUACUGCCAGACUCGAGUCCGGGAGAGGAUA
rnacentral:rRNA from 1 species